AUCCCAAUAGAGACCCAUAGAGACCCCAUAGAUCCCCAUAGACCCACACGGACCCAUAGCCACCCCAUAGAUUGCCAAAAUAAAACCCCCAAAUCCUUUAUUUUUUCACCCCGAAAACCAGCCCCAAAAUCGCCGUUUUUCACCCCAAAAUCGACCCCAAAACCACCCCCAAAAUCCCCCUAUUUCACCCCAAACCCCCAUCCAAAAACCCCUAUUUCCCCCUCCCCAAAAUCCCCCCAUUUCACCCCAAAAUCGACCCUAAAACCAGCCCUAAAAUCCCCCAUUUUCACCCCAAAACAGCCCCGAAAACCAGCCCCAAAAUCCCUUAUUUUCACCCCAAAACCCCCCAUCAAAAACCUCCAUUUCCCAGCCCCAAAAUCGCCCUUUUUCACCCCAAAACCCCCAUCAAAAACCUCCAUUUCCGAGCCCCCAAAUCCCUCCUUUUCACCCCAAAACCUCCCCAAAAACCAGCCCCAAAAUCGCCCAAUUUCAACCCAAAACCGCCCUGAAAACCAGCCCCAAAAUCGCCCUUUUUCACCCCAAAACCCCCAUCAAAAACCUCCAUUUCCCAGCCCCAAAAUCCCUCAUUUUCACCCCAAUUCCAGCCCCAAAAUCGCCCUUUUUCACCCCAAAAUCGACCCCAAAACCAGCCCCAAAAUCCCACAAUUUCACCCCAAAAUCGACCCCAAAACCAGCCCCAAAAUCCCCUAUUUUCACCCCAAAAACCAGCCCCAAAAUCGCCCUUUUUCACCCCAAAAUCCCCCAUCAAAAACCUCCAUUUCCCAGCCCCAAAAUCGCCCCUUUUCACCCCAACCCCCCCAUCAAAAACCUCCAUUACCCAGCCCCAAAAUCGCCCUUUUUCACCCCAAAAUCCCCAUCAAAAACCUCCAUUUCCCAGCCCCAAAAUCCCUCAUUUUCACCCCAAAAACCAGCCCCAAAAUCGCCCUUUUUCACCCCAAAAUCGACCCCAAAACCAGCCCCAAAAUCGCCCUUUUUCACCCCAAAACCCCCCGUCAAAAACCUCCAUUUCCCAGCCCCAAAAUCCCCCAUUUUCACCCCAAAACCUCCCCAAAAAACAGCCCCAAAAUCGCCCUUUUUCACCCCAAAAUCGACCCCAAAAAUCCCUUAUUUUCACCCCAAUUCCAGCCCCAAAAUCGCCCUUUUUCACCCCAAAACCCCCAUCAAAAACCUCCAUUUCCGAGCCCCCAAAAUCGCCCUUUUUCACCCCAAAACCCCCAUCAAAAACCUCCAUUUCCCAGCCCCAAAAUCCUCCAAUUUCACCCCAAAACCAGCCCCAAAAUCGCCCCUUUUCACCCCAAAACCACCCCAAUUCCAGCCCCAAAAUCGCCCUUUUUCACCCCAAAAUCGACCCCCAAAAUCCCUUAUUUUCACCCCCAAAACCAGCCCCAAAAUCGCCCUUUUUCACCCCAAAACCCCCCAUCAAAAACCUCCAUUUCCCAGCCCCAAAAUCCCUCAAUUUCACCCCAAAAUCGAUCCCAAAACCAGCCCCAAAAUCGCCCUUUUUCACCCCAAAAUCGACCCCAAAACCAGCCCCAAAAUCCCUUAUUUUCACCCCAAAACCAGCCCCAAAAUCGCCCUUUUUCACCCCAAAAUCGACACCCAAAAUCGCCGUUUUUCACCCCAAACCCCCCAUCAAAAACCUCCAUUUCCCAGCCCCAAAAUCCCCCCAUUUCACCCCAAAAUCGACCCCAAAACCAGCCCCAAAAUCGCCCUUUUUCACCCCAAAACCGCCCAGAAAACCAGCCCCAAAAUCCCCUAUUUUCACCCCAAAAACCAGCCCCAAAAUCCCUUAUUUUCACCCCAAAACCCCCACCAAAAACCUCCAUUUCCCAGCCCCAAAAUCGCCCUUUUUCACCCCAAAACCCCCCAUCAAAAACCUCCAUUUCCCAGCCCCAAAAUAGCCGUUUUUUGCCCCAAAACCCCCAUCAAAAACCUCCAUUUCCCAGCCCCCAAAUCCCCCAUUUUCACCCCAAAACCCCCAUCAAAAACCUCCAUUUCCCAGCCCCAAAAUCGCUCAAUUUCACCCCAAAAUCGACCCCUAAAAUCCCUUAUUUUCACCCCAAAAUCCCCCAUUUCCCUGUACCCAAAAUCGCCCUUUUUCACCCCAAAAUCCCCAUCAAAAACCUCCAUUUCCCAGCCCCAAAAUCCCCCAAUUUCACCCCAAAAUCGACCCCCAAAAUCCCUUAUUUUCACCCCAAAAACCAGCCCCAAAAUCGCCGUUUUUCACCCCAAAACCCCCAUCAAAAACCUCCAUUUCCCAGCCCCAAAAUCGCCCCUUUUCACCCCAAAACCACCCCAAUUCCAACCCUAAAAUCGCCCUUUUUCACCCCAAAAUCGACCCCCAAAAUCGCCCAUUUUCACCCCAAAACUCCCCAUCAAAAACCUCAAUUUCCCAGCCCCAAAAUCCCUCAUUUUCACCCCAAUUCCAGCCCCAAAAUCGCCCUUUUUCACCCCAAAAUCCCCAUCAAAAACCUCCAUUUCCCAGCCCCAAAAUCGCCCCUUUUCACCCCAAAAUCGACCCCCAAAAUCGCCCUUUUUCACCCCAAAAUCGACCCCAAAACCAGCCCCAAAAUCCCUUAUUUUCACCCCAAAACCCCCCAUCAAAAACCUCCAUUUCCCAGCCCCAAAAUCGCCCUUUUUCAACCCAAUUCCAGCCCCAAAAUCGCCCUUUUUCACCCCAAAACCUCCCCAAAAAACAGCCCCAAAAUCGCCCUUUUUCACCCCAAAAUCUCCCCAAAAACCAGCCCCAAAAUCGCCCUUUUUCACCCCAAANCAGCCCCAAAAUCGCCCUUUUUCACCCCAAAAUCUCCCCAAAAACCAGCCCCAAAAUCGCCCUUUUUCACCCCAAACCCCCCAUCAAAAACCUCCAUUUCCCAGCCCCAAAAUCGCCCUUUUUCACCCCAAAACCCCCCAUCAAAAACCUCCAUUUCCCAGCCCCAAAAUCCCCCAAUUUCACCCCAAAACCAGCCCCGAAAUCGCCCCUUUUCACCCCAAAACCCCCAUCAAAAACCUCCAUUUCCCAGCCCCAAAAUCGCCCUUUUUCACCCCCAAAAUCGCCCUUUUUCACCCCAAAACCUCCCCAAAAACCAGCCCUAA
rnacentral:lncRNA from 1 species